rnacentral:rRNA from 1 species
CCAUUCCCUGCUCCGUACGGCGCCGUCUAUCGCCGCCUCCGCCGCCGAAUUUUCCCGGAGGUCGGGCAGGACAUGGGGGUGGGAGUGGGGUGGGGCUUGGGACGGAGCGGCGGCAUAGAGACUAGACUUCUUGGCCUCCUCGCGGCACCUCAGGAUCAGGCAAGGGCGGACGAGGGAAGAUGGGGGCUGGGGCGGCGCUACUCGGCGGCGUCCAGGUAAAGUGAAUGGGAACACCUAUUGUACCGAGCAAAACUUCAAUGAAAACACGAUCGUAUUAGAUUGAUCGAUCCAAUUCGAUAUGAGAUUUAGACAUUUCUUUCAGUUAUGAAUCAAAAUCAACUCGAAACACAUUUUAUACCUUUCCUUCUGACCUUACCAUGACCUACUUGUACAGGACUUUCGAUGACUAGCGUUCUCCUUUGUACUCAGCAGACACUUCUCAUGACCGUGUCUACUAAAACGACUCCAGAGAGUCGUACGACUACCAAGACGACAGGAAUUCUUCAGAUUUUACUGGAGGAGACGACCACUAUAAGACCUCACGAUAUUCUUGAAGUUCUGUUCGCCAAGCGGGCACGCGCACGAAACAAUGGUGGUCCCAUUUACCUCCCUGAAAGGUCUCGUACAACACUUAGACCAUGUCGUCCUGAAGGUCAACUUCUCCGGUUAAUGAUUACGACAUAACUUCUUGGUCGUUCAGGACAACCUGAAAUACGUGUACCAGACGUAACUAAGAAGCUACUGGUGUUUGUUCGGUUAUCGUACCUAACUACAAGUACCAUUGGCGAAGAAAGGUCUCAAUACACGACCUGACCAUUGUAGAUUUGGUAGAGUCGUACCCUUUUCACUGGGGUCACCAUUUAGAUUUCGACCACUCACACGACCCUGAAACUAAAACUGUCGACUUCGACUUUCGAGCUCAAGUCUAAGACAACUACGUCAUGAGGGAGUACGAUUCUUCCAAUUAUUGUAUGACCUCCUUCCUGUCCUCCAUGUAUUAAUACGACGACAACUUUUAUUUCGACCAGGACGUUAGACAAACUUACUUGGACGAUCACCUUUGUAUGUACGACGAUGAAUAUUCGUCUUUUAACCGGUUGGACAACUAAGUCGACACGCGUUCAAUAACGAACUUCCCCGUCCGGUUGGAAAAUCACUUCUUUUAUAAUAACCGUAGAUGUCUUGAGGUGACCAUCUAGUCGUUCCCGCCCGAGCGAAGUUAGAAAAGGUCUUCCUUGAACUCCGGUGGUUUUACGUAGCACCGUUGCGUUUACACGCGAUGCGCACCGAUGGAACAAGGUUCCUAUGAUACCUCCUCUACUACUACGCACCACAAGACCUUCAAUGUUUUGGGUACGACCCCGGUCACAUACCGUAACCAUGUGUAGAACGAGGUCGCUUGACACGGGUUUGGACGCGAUCGAUGAGUCUAUAACUGCUUUUACCGUAGUACUCCUACUACGACACGGCACAAUAUUACCCAUUACAACUCCAACAUGAAGGACCUAGUUUCGUUAAGGUCGGUUGGUUACUUUCUAAACUAUCACCACACCUACUAGAAGUUUUCGGUUUCGUGAUAUAGUAUACCCUACGAUUACACGUAGCUGUGUAGAUACGACUUAUACGACAACAAUAGUUUCGUGGAAGGUACUGGUUACUUAUGAACCGAUCUCUUCUAUGACGUAGGUUGUAUAGACUCUAUUCUUUAAGACCAAGUCGUCUUUCACAUUAGUUCCUGCUAUCAAGGCUUUGGUACCGUAGAGGUCGACUAUUUGUUGUUCGUGGGUCCAAACCCGCACGGGGUUGAGCUUCCGGAGGAUGAAGUGGGACCUACGGGGAGGGUUACGAAAAGCGACGGUAGAGGUGUUUUCAAGGAGCAAGACUGUACCUACAUUAGGUACCUGUGAUACUUCUUAAGUUCUCCUCUUUCUAUUCGUCCGGGCUCAAACACUCUGCCGAUUCUGUCUAGAAGCCGCUGUUCGACGACCAAAGAUGUCAUUACUCCGACGUUGGAUUCCAUCACCGUGGGUACCGUCCACGACUUCACGAUGGUUCUCCUCGUGGGCCGUGCCCUCCCUCGUCGUGGAGGACUUCAUCGUCAAGCAGCUCUAUUGUCGAGCACCUCGGCGAGGAUCACCUCUCUCUAUCUCUCUCGUGUCCCCUCCGGUAAUUCAAUACACAGCCAACCAAUAUCUGUUUUUGAUCAGCCAUUUGACGCUCGUCGGACAAUUCAACCACAUCGAAACAAACCAAGGUACACCAACCAGAGAACCGCAGUCAGCCAUUGACCUUUGUGAGACAACAUCGGCUACGACAACACACGUUUAGACACAACGUCGAACAUGACACGGACACGACAUGAACCAUCAAAAAAACAAAAAUUAAAACUCGACUACUUGGAUCGUAUCUUAUAUACAUCUGGAGUGGACUCCAACUCAAAGUCGACCGACCGGGAUCUAAAAGAGAGAAACUCGACUGCUCGGAUCGUAUCUAAAGAAAAAAGUUUUGCCUCAGAUCGUGUAUCUUAACUAUCUUCACUACCACUCGAACUCAACCGAGCACACUAGAGGGGAACCCCCGGUAACGAACAACCCGAGGCCAAGAUGUUUGAUACUAGCUGCCGAGAAAAGAAAACUACUUUGUACCACUUACUUCAAAACCAUUCUGUUUUAGGUCUCAAAGGAACAAACUCAUACGACGACAGAUGAAUUAAAUGGGAACGAUCUGAGGCAAAUAUAUAAAAACAAAUAAAUACCUCUUGUCUUUACUUUUCUCCUACGUACGGUCGCCAAAUAGGAUCAUUGUUCUACCCUAACAAUCCCUCAACCUUCAACCUUGUUCUACUAUGGAACCACCGAACCGUAGAAGUUAUGUUGGUGUGGUUCAUUUUCUUCGUUGGUCCGUACGAAAAGAAAAGGUCUAGCGUGUCGUCUUCUAUCAUGAUGUAAAACCAAGGUAGAGGAGGAGUGAUUUGUUCAGUGGUUGUGUACGAAACAAAUUAAUUGUUCAUUCGUUACGUACUCACUCUCAUUUGUUGUACUGAAUAGUAGCUAGCUCAGGAUCAUGAGGGAGGCAGGGUUUUAAGAACAGAAUCUAUAGAUCUGUUUAGAUUCUGUUCUUAAAACCCUGCCUCCCUCAUAUUCUAUACGUUCACGUAUGUGACCUGAACCCAUGUUCUUUCCCUCUCUCUCCGUCUGGGUUAACUAGUUGUGGUAGGGCAAAGAGACGAAGGUCGAUCUUGUUUGAGAACUCCGUCUGGGUUACCUACUAGAUCGUGUAAGUCAAAAAGAAGUACAGUAACACAAAAUAAAUAAACACAAGGU